CUCUCCCUCUCCCUCUCCCUCUCCAUCAGUCUGCUCAUCCCCCUCUCUAAUCUGUUUUUCUGUAAUCCUCAUCAACGCCCCGCCCUCUGCUCUUCCUCAUUUUCCCACUCUCCACCUUUCUCCAUCGAAUAAUUAUGCUUUUCUCUUCCUCCUCUUCCUCUUCCUCUUCCUCCUCUUAGGGUUCUUAGUAACUUAUCAAACUAUUUUUAUUUUUUGUGUGUUGAUGAAUUUGGUCUUUAAUUUAAUUUAUACUUUUGAAAUGGAUGUCUCCUUUAUCUGAAAUGAAAGCCUUCUAUUGCGCGUACACACACACACACACACACACACACACACACACACACACACACACACGCACACACACACACACACACCCAAGUCCAGGAUAUUGUUGUUGUUGUUGUUUUCAGUCCAUUUAAUCAGAGAAUCUUUCUUCAACAAUAUAUGUGACAUAUAUCAGAGUGGGUGACUGAGUGUAAAUAGAUAUUUUCUUGUGGAUGCUUUAGACACAUAGAGGAUUUAAAAUAAAAGAUGGCAUGAUGAUAUGAUACCUUUCCCAACGCUGUACGAUUAAUUUAAAGAGUUAAGUCAGGUAAACAGAGUGAAGGUUAAAGGGUAAAGGUUAGAGGUUAAGACAGAGUAAUGGUUUGAGUAGAGAUAGAGGCGGCUGGCUAACAGACAGACUUUUAGUAAUGUCAGUUAGUGUGUUUUAUCUUCUGUUCAGUUUGUUGUGGUAGAGCUGCUCUGUUAGCCGCUAGGUCGCUUGGUCCUGGUGUCCUGGUUGGCCAGCUAGCUGUUAACCGCUAGGUAGCUAGAUCCUGGUUAGCCAGCUAGCUGUUAGCCAUACUGCUAGGUCCUGGUUAGCCAGCUAGCUGUUAGCCACUAGAUCAUAUAGGUCCUGGGUACCUAGCUGUAAGCCAUAUCGCUAGGUCACUAGUUGCUAGGUCAGUUUGAAUACCUGUGGUGCGUUUGAAUACUUUAAGGGAAGAGGAUGAUAUAUUGAGAUGAUAUUGGGGCAAUAUCGGGUUAUUACUGGGGUGAUAUCGGGGUAAUACUGGGGUGAUAUCGGGGUAAUACUGGGGUGAUAUCGGGGUAAUACUGGGGUGAUACUGGGGCAACACUGGGGUGAUAUUGAGGUAAUAUUGGGGCGAUAUUGGGGCAAUACAGGGGCGAUACUGGGGUGAUACUGGGUUGAUAUUGGGUCUAUAUUGAGGUGAUACUGGGUCGGUAUUGGGAUAAUACUGGGUCUAUAUUGGGGUGAUACUGGGUCGAUAUUGGGGCAAUACGGGGGCGAUACUGGGGCGAUACUGGGGUGAUACUGGGGUGAUAUUGGGUCUAUAUUGAGGUGAUACUGGGUCGGUAUUGGGAUAAUACUGGGUCGAUAUUGGGGUGAUACUGGGUCGAUAUUGGGGUGAUACUGGGUCGAUAUUGGGGUGAUACUGGGUCGAUUUUGGGGUGAUACUGGGUCGAUUUUGGGGUGAUACUGGGUCGAUUUUGGGGUGAUACUGGGUCGAUUUUGGGGUGAUACUGGGUCGAUAUUGGGGUGAUACUGGGUCGAUUUUGGGGUGAUACUGGGUCGAUAUUGGGGUGAUACUGGGUCGAUAUUGGGGUGAUACUGGGUCGAUAUUGGGGUGAUACUGGGUCGAUAUUGGGGUGAUACUGGGUCGAUAUUGGGGUGAUACUGGGUCGAUAUUGGGGUGAUACUUGGUCGAUAUUGGGGUGAUACUGGGUCGAUAUUGGGGUGAUACUGGGUUGAUAUUGGGGUGAUACUGGGGUGAUACUUGGUCGAUAUUGGGGUGAUACUGGGUCGAUAUUGGGGUGAUACUGGGACGAUAUUGGGGUGAUACUGGGUCGAUAUUGGGGUGAUACUGGGACGAUAUUGGGGUGAUACUGGGUCGAUAUUGGGGUGAUACUGGGACGAUAUUGGGGUGAUACUGGGACGAUAUCAUAUCAAGGGGAUUUCUGCUUUUAAUGUCUUUCUUUUUUAUUCUGUUUCUCCACUCGUUUAUUUGUGCUGUGUUUGUUUGUGUGUCAUCAGCUUUGUGGCGGGUUUAGAACACAACAUUGUGUACAGUUACCACGGCAACCACAGCAUCAGGCCGGAGUCUCGCCCUAACUUCACCACACACCCGCCACUCACACUGUUGUGCCACAUGUGAGCCUUUCGUCUUGCUGUUGGUCAUGCCCCUUUAAUCUCUAAACCAAUCCUUUCCCUUUAAACAGUGAUGCCACUUCCUGGUCUGGGCUGUCUGACCAAUCAGAGCCCAGCCUGUCUCCAUCCCUCCAUCUUAGUAAGAAUUGGUUUUCUUUUCAUUUGUUCUCAGUUCCUUUUCUGUGCAACGUUCAGCAGAUACAAACUAGAUGUGGUUAAUAAUGACAUCAUCUGUAUUACUGCCUCAGAUAUUCCAUGUGGAACCUUCUGAAGAAUAUUGCUGUAAAAACAAGAAAUAAAAAGAUUUUGUGUUUAAAA